CUAGCUCAGUUGGUAGAGCACCUGACUCUUAAUCAGGGUGUCCAGGGUUCGAACCCCUGG
rnacentral:tRNA from 1 species